rnacentral:tRNA from 1 species
GGGCCAGUAGCUCAGCCGGUUAGAGCAGCGGACUCAUAAUCCGUCGGUCGUGGGUUCGAGCCCCACCUGGCCCAC